rnacentral:misc_RNA from 1 species
UUCUUUUUUUUUUUUUUUUCUGGGGAGUUUUAAGCUGCUGUGUGCAUUGUUAUUAAAUGCGAGAAAAGGCGUCAAGCGAGGAGCUAGGGGAGGCAAGGCGAGCACCUAAGGCUCCAAGGCGAGAGGUGUUAAAGGCAACGCCUUUGAAAAAUAACGGAAACUUUUCAAUUUUUUUUCUUUAAUUUUUUGUUUUAAGAUAGCAAAUAGUUAAAACACCUAACUUGUUCUCUAUCUCAUGACACCAGC